ensembl:lncRNA
GCCCUGAGCCCUGGGAGCGACCGGCCCGGCCCUGGCGUCUGCUAGGGAGUGAGGGGGCUGGGACGGCCGAGGGGUCCCGCCGCCCCGAGAGCCGGGGGACAGUCACCGCAGCCUCUGACGGGAAGGCCGCCCCGGGGAGGAAGGUGGCCAGCGUCGCUCAUCAUCCCUCUCUGCUCAGAGCCGAACCGCCUUCCUGGCAUCUGAUGACCGCGAAGGGUGAGCUGAAUAGGAAAGCAGUGGGUGCAGUACAGCUGUGUUAAGAGAGACAAGACCGGCAGCAUUGGCAACUGGCAACUUCUGUUUUCCAAAGAGGUACUGGUGUGUGAUCUGAAACUACAAGAACUUACCUUGCUAAAGAUCUCUUCCAUCAUCACUUGAAGUCAAGAUUUACGAAUACUAAUAAAAUAUGAGAUUUUCCAUGAAAAUUGUAAUGU